rnacentral:rRNA from 1 species
AAGCCAUGCAAGUCGAACGCCGCUUAGUUGAAUAGCAAUAUCUGGCUAAGCGAGUGGCGAACGGGUGCGUAACACGUGAGCAACCUGCCGAAAAGUGGGGGAUAGCUCGCCGAAAGGCGAAUUAAUACCGCAUGUGACUAGAGAAGGCAUCUUCUCCAAGUCAAAGCCGGGGCAACCUGGCGCUUUUUGAUGGGCUCGCGGCCUAUCAGCUUGUUGGUGAGGUAACGGCUCACCAAGGCUAUGACGGGUAACUGGUCUGAGAGGAUGAUCAGUCACACUGGAACUGAGACACGGUCCAGACACCUACGGGUGGCAGCAGUCGAGAAUCAUUCGCAAUGGGCGAAAGCCUGACGGUGCGACGCCGCGUGAAGGAUGAAGGUCUUCGGAUCGUAAACUUCUGUCAUCUGAGAACAAUUGUCGGAGCAGUAACUGGCUUUGCCUUGAUAGUAUCAGAAGAGGAAGAGACGGCUAACUCUGUGCCAGCAGCCGCGGUAAUACAGGGGUCUCAAGCGUUGUUCGGAUUCAUUGGGCGUAAAGGGUGCGUAGGCGGUGCCGUAAGUCGGAUGUGAAAUCCCGGAGCUCAACUUCGGAACUGCAUUCGAUACUGCGGCGCUAGAGGACUGGAGAGGAGAUCGGAAUUCAUGGUGUAGCAGUGAAAUGCGUAGAUAUCAUGAGGAAGACCAGUGGCGAAGGCGGAUCUCUGGACAGUUCCUGACGCUGAGGCACGAAGGCUAGGGUAGCGAACGGGAUUAGAUACCCCGGUAGUCCUAGCAGUAAACGGUGCACGUUUGGUGUGGGAGGAUUCGACCCCUUCCGUGCCGGAGCUAACGCGUUAAACGUGCCGCCUGGGGAGUACGAUCGCAAGAUUAAAACUCAAAGAAAUUGACGGGGGCCCGCACAAGCGGUGGAGUAUGUGGCUUAAUUCGAUGCAACGCGAAGAACCUUACCUGGCCUUGACAUGCAUCUCUAAGCGGGUGAAAGCCCGUGACUGUAGCAAUACAGAUUUGCACAGUGCUGCAUGCUGUCGUCAGCUCGUGUCGUGAGAUGUUGGGGUAGUCCCGCACGAGCGCACCCCUGGUGGACUGUUGCCACCUCCCUUCGUGGGAGGCACUCUGUCAGAACUGCCUGGUGAACCGGGGGAGG